GUGGGGAAUUUUGGACAAUGGGCGAAAGCCUGAUCCAGCCAUGCCGCGUGCAGGAUGAAGGCCUUCGGGUUGUAAACUGCUUUUGUACGGAACGAAACGGUCCGGGUUAAUACCCUGGGCUAAUGACGGUACCGUAAGAAUAAGCACCGGCUAACUACGUGCCAGCAGUCGCGGUAAUACGUAGGGUGCAAGCGUUAAUCGGAAUUACUGGGCGUAAAGCGCGCGUAGGUGGUUUUGUAAGUUGGAGGUGAAAUCCCCGGGCUCAACCUGGGAACUGCCUCCGAAACUGCAUGACUAGAGUACGGUAGAGGGUAGUGGAAUUUCCUGUGUAGCGGUGAAAUGCGUAGAUAUAGGAAGGAACACCAGUGGCGAAGGCGACUACCUGGACUGAUACUGACACUGAGGUGCGAAAGCGUGGGGAGCAAACAGGAUUAGAAACCCGAGUAGUCC
rnacentral:rRNA from 1 species